rnacentral:rRNA from 1 species
UACAGGGGGGGCAAGCGUUGUUCGGAAUUACUGGCGUAAAGAGCCAGUAGGCGGCCAACUAAGUCGGAUGUGAAAUCCCCAGGCUUAACCUGGGAACUGCAUCCGAUACUGGAUGGCUUGAAUUCGGGAGAGGGAUGCAGAAUUCCAGGUGUAGCGGUGAAAUGCGUAGAUAUCCGGAGGAACACCAGCGGCGAAGGCGGCUUUCUGGUCCGAUACUGACGCUGAGGUGCGAAAGUGUGGGGAGCGGAUCCGG